rnacentral:rRNA from 1 species
CCUACGGGAGGCUGCAGUGGGGGAUAUUGCACAAUGGGGGGAACCCUGAUGCAGCGACGCCGCGUGGGUGAAGAAGCGCCUCGGCGCGUAAAGCCCUGUCAGCAGGGAAGAAAAUGACGGUACCUGACGAAGAAGCCCUGGCUAACUACGUGCCAGCAGCCGCGGUAAUACGUAGGGGGCAAGCGUUAUCCGGAUUUACUGGGUGUAAAGGGGGCGUAGACGGCGAUGCAAGUCAGGAGUGAAAGCCCGGGGCCCAACCCCGGGACUGCUCUUGGAACUGCGUGGCUGGAGUGCAGGAGGGGCAGGCGGAAUUCCUGGUGUAGCGGUGAAAUGCGUAGAUAUCAGGAGGAACACCGGUGGCGAAGGCGGCCUGCUGGACUGCAACUGACGUUGAGGCCCGAAAGCGUGGGGAGCAAACAGGAUUAGAUACCCCAGUAGUC